rfam:Staphylococcus aureus C0673 genomic scaffold aedLz-supercont1.14, whole genome shotgun sequence.
AGAGUAACGGAGGCGCUCAAAGGUUCCCUCAGAAUGGUUGGAAAUCAUUCGCAGAGUGUAAAGGCACAAGGGAGCUUGACUGCGAGACCUACAAGUCGAGCAGGGUCGAAAGACGGACUUAGUGAUCCGGUGGUUCCGCAUGGAAGGGCCAUCGCUCAACGGAUAAAAGCUACCCCGGGGAUAACAGGCUUAUCUCCCCCAAGAGUUCACAUCGACGGGGAGGUUUGGCACCUCGAUGUCGGCUCAUCGCAUCCUGGGGCUGUAGUCGGUCCCAAGGGUUGGGCUGUUCGCCCAUUAAAGCGGUACGCGAGCUGGGUUCAGAACGUCGUGAGACAGUUCGGUCCCUAUCCGUCGUGGGCGUAGGAAAUUUGAGAGGAGCUGUCCUUAGUACGAGAGGACCGGGAUGGACAUACCUCUGGUGUACCAGUUGUCGCGCCAGCGGCAUAGCUGGGUAGCUAUGUAUGGACGGGAUAAGUGCUGAAAGCAUCUAAGCAUGAAGCCCCCCUCAAGAUGAGAUUUCCCAACUUCGGUUAUAAGAUCCCUCAAAGAUGAUGAGGUUAAUAGGUUCGGGGUGUAAGCGCAGUAAUGUGUGUAGCUGACGAAUACUAAUCGAUCGAAGACUUAAUCAA